CUUCGAUUUCCUUGAGGAUGCGACCCAGGUCGACCCCAUCGUAUCCUGAACGCCGAAAGCGAGCCAAGUCAUUUCCUGUGCCCAGGGGCAGCACAGCCACCGGGGGGCGCACCAGCAGAGGCACCUUGUCUGGGGAGGAAACGGGACUGAGAUCAGAUCAUCAAAAAGUCACCAUGGAACCUAAGGAAAGUAAUGAGUUCACAUGGCAUAGAGCCAAGGUCAGAAGAGGCU